rnacentral:rRNA from 1 species
ACGGGUGAGUAACGCGUAGGUAAUCUACCCCAGAAUCUGGAAUAACCUGCCGAAAGGCGGGCUAAUACUGGAUAGAGCGAUGGAAUCCGUAAUUGGGUUUUUCGGGGAAGGGAGCUCGCAAGAGCCUUCGUUUUGGGAUGAGCCUGCGUCUCAUUAGCUAGUUGGUGGGGUAACAGCCCACCAAGGCAUUGAUGGGUAGCUGGUCUGAGAGGAUGAUCAGCCACACUGGAACUGAAACACGGCCCAGACUCCUACGGGAGGCAGCAGUGGGGAAUCUUGCGCAAUGGACGAAAGUCUGACGCAGCCGCGCCGCGUGAGUGAAGAAGGCCUUCGGGUUGUAAAGCUCUGUCGUCCGGGACGAAAAUCUUAUGGGUGAAUAGCCCAUAGGACUGACGGUACCGGAAAAGGAAGCACCGGCUAACUCCGUGCCAGCAGCCGCGGUAAUACGGAGGGUGCAAGCGUUGCUCGGAAUUAUUGGGCGUAAAGGGCAGGUAGGUGGUCUCAUUUGUCUGGGGUGAAAGCCUUGAGCUUAACUCAAGAAGUGCCCCAGAAACGGUGAGACUGGAGUCCUGGAGAGGGUCGUGGAAUU